UACAGAGGCCUCGGAGCGUUAGGCGGAAUCACUGGGCUUAAAGCGUGUGUAGGUGGAGUGCCUAAGUACCUUGUGAAAUCCCACGGCUUAACCGUGGAACUGCUUGGUAUACUGGGUGGUCUUGAGUCGACUCAGGGGCGAGGCGGAACAAAUGGUGGAGCGGUGAAUGACGUAGAUAUCAAUUUGGAACGCCAAUGGGUGAAACGCUCGCUGGGGGUGCACUGACACUGAGACACGAAGGCCAGGGGAGCGAACGGG
rnacentral:rRNA from 1 species